rnacentral:rRNA from 1 species
AUACGUAGGGUGCGAGCGUUGUCCGGAAUUACUGGGCGUAAAGAGCUCGUAGGUGGUUUGUCGCGUGGUCUGUGAAAUUCCGGGGCUUAACUCCGGGCGUGCAGGCGAUACGGGCAUAACUUGAGUACUGUAGGGGAGACUGGAAUUCCUGGUGUAGCGGUGAAAUGCGCAGAUAUCAGGAGGAACACCGGUGGCGAAGGCGGGUCUCUGGGCAGUAACUGACGCUGAGGAGCGAAAGCAUGGGUAGCGAACAGGAUUAGAUACCCUGGUAGUCCAUGCCGUAAACGGUGGGCGCUAGGUGUAGGGGUCUUCCACGACUUCUGUGCCGUAGCUAACGCAUUAAGCGCCCCGCCUGGGGAGUUCGGCCGCAAGGCUAAAACUCAAAUGAAUUGACGGGG